AUCAGAUUAUCCAGUCAUUCAUAAAUCGACUGACGUCGAUUAGAUUUAAAUACCUCCAACUCAAUCAAUGCCCUCCGAAUUAUCCUAAUCAGAUUCAAACAGGGGGGCUGGCGAUCCAAAUGAUCCUUGAUUUUUGAAUUAUUUUAUUUUAUCUCCUCAUUUAUAUUCAAAAAUUUAAAUUUUUAUAGGAUCUAAAUGAGGAAGGAG
rnacentral:lncRNA from 1 species